GGCAGCCACCAUAAUCAAAACGUUGGCGCAGUAUUAAAUGUUGCUAACUUGCAGGAAAUUUCCUGUUUACUUACUAAAAUUUUCUGAAAUAUUUUAAUUUUAAAGCGUUAAAUUUAAGAUUUAUUUUUGGCAUCUCCUUAUACUGUAACAGUGCUAUAAGAAGUAACUGUAUAUAUUUGUCUAACAAAGCUAACUGUAAUUUCAGUGCUUUGACCAUUCAAACUAAUCUUUUAUCGAUCCAAUUUAUUUGGCCGCUUAUAUAAAAUAUGAGAGACUAAUAAAGUAGCCUUCACGCAAUGCUGCACGUCAUGUGUUAAUUUAACACAAUAUUAGGCAACUUUCCCAUAUAAUCUAUCUAAAUAUUAUGGUCUAUAUUUAGCAGAGAAAAUAACAUUGUUAUUAUUAUAACGGCUUGAAAACAUUAGAGUGGUAAACACAUCAAAAAUGUUCUGCAGAGAGCGGCUUAAUAUUUAUGUAUAUAAGAAGUUUGUUUGUUGGAUGUAAGCUACGGGUAUGUAAAAGCUGUUUAGAUUUUCUUAAAUAGUGACCACACUACAUCACGAUCAUAUUGGCAACGUCGAUGAAAUCAUCUCUACUAAUCUUUGACAGACAUUCAUUUAUGAAUAUUUAAGUAAACAAUCUAAUUAUGUGUAUGAAAUGGAACUACCAGCAGAGGAAUGCAAAGUGGGUAAUGCAUAUCUUAAAGAAGCUGGCAAUUGUUCUUAAGGAACAGUGUAAUGAGCUUAAUCUAAUAUAGAUAUUUACAAUUGAUAAUAAUAGGACUUUCAUUAAUUUACCUACCUGAUCUUAAUACACUGAAUGCUUCUAUCAAAAUCACUACUGCGUUUAGUAACCUCUAGCAAAACUUCCAAACCUAUAUCGCCUUAAUUAUUAUGACAUUAACAUUUAAGCAUCUACCAACUAAAA